CUUGACGACCAUAGAGCAUUGGAACCACCUGAUCCCAUCCCGAACUCAGCAGUGAAACGAUGCAUCGCCGAUGGUAGUGUGGGGUUCCCCAUGUGAGAGUAGGUCAUCGUCAAGA
rnacentral:rRNA from 1 species